UACGUAGGGUGCAAGCGUUAAUCGGAAUUACUGGGCGUAAAGCGUGCGCAGGCGGUUCUAUAAGACAGAUGUGAAAUCCCCGGGCUCAACCUGGGAACUGCAUUUGUGACUGUAGAGCUGGAGUGCGGCAGAGGGGGAUGGAAUUCCGCGUGUAGCAGUGAAAUGCGUAGAUAUGCGGAGGAACACCGAUGGCGAAGGCAAUCCCCUGGGCCUGCACUGACGCUCAUGCACGAAAGCGUGGGGAGCAAAUGGG
rnacentral:rRNA from 1 species